GGCCACAGUUUCGAUCAGAGACCCCAUUGAUUGCUCUAAUUCCUCGUGGGCCUCUUCCCCAUCCUUAUCUGAUUUUGAAUCCAACAGUAACUGAUAUAGCUGAGACCUAACACAUUUGUGGGCCACACUAUAUUUGGAACCACACAAAAGCACAGGCUCUUUUUUCUCCUCGUCAAUCUCUGCGGCCGAGAACGUUUUGUUAAACUUCUUUGGUGAACCUACCGUCAGAACUGAAUUGUGAGCUGCAUUUGGCCCCAUGGAACCACUAUUAUUACGCAUUCCCCAAGGCUUAAAAGUUUAAGAAACAAUACUUGUAUGACUCCGAGUGGAAGACUUCGCAGAAGUAUAACCUCCCGUCAAGAGUGGCUUCCUAGGAGAUUGAUGCAAUGUGCCUUCCACUUUAUGCGCCGCUUGAAAUCCUUUUACCAAUGUUUUUGGCUUGAAUAAUUGUAAGUACUACUCGAUUUCAGUUUUCAAGUUACUAGUAAAUAUGCUUAAGGCAUAUGAUUCCGACAACUACAAUUGAUUCAACAAGCUAACAAAAGUGUCGUGAUAUUGGUCCAUCAUCCCAUGUUGCUUUAAUGCCACUAAGUCGGACAUGGGGCUUUGAAAAUAACCUGACGCAAAAUGCUCCUGCAAGCUCUGUGCAUAAGUUUCCCAAACCAACAUGUGAAACCCCCUUGCCGUUGUACAUAAAAAUGGUGCUAGUCGAUAGCCUUGCCCUCAAAGUGUAACAUAAUUGUUCAGACCCUAGCAUUGGAAGAGACCCUUUCGGCAUCAAAAUAUUGUUCCAAUUUUUCCCACCAACCUCUAAAAUUAGAUCCGUCAAAACAUGGACAUUCUAGGUUGUGCAACUUAAAGAAGUGAUCUUCUACAUGAAACCACAAACUGGCAUCAACCUUAGGUAAAAAGAAACGAGUGCCCUUCAAAGGUGAGUUAGGAGACGUUUCUUUGGGCAAAAACCUGGUUGGUAAAACACCUAGAAUUCCCUUCCCCUUUUCAUUCGACUGUCUAGUAAAAGCUGUAGUAGAUGGCUACACACCAGCAACAGAAGUAGACGUCGACCCAAAUAUAGUUCCAGCAGUCCUUGCAUUUUAGAUUUGGUCUCCCCUUAUAACCCAUCCUUUAGUUCCCUCAACUUCAGCUUGAAUUCUUCCUUGAAUUCCACCCUUAACUCUUUCAAUUCGUCAUUCAACUUUGUGCUCCACAGGGAAAAAUCCUCCUGUAGUUUUGCCAUUAUUUGUUGCGGACUUCCCACAUCUUUUUGAAGUUGAGUAGAAACGUUGUCGCCAGACAUCAUAGAUGGUUGGCUUUGAUACCUUGUUAAUUACUGGAAACAGGUUGAAUUUUACUUAAGAAUUUGCAGCCACUUAUGGCAGAAAAGAAUAGUAGACAAGAAGAAGAAAGAAAGAAAUAAGGAAAAAGUAUGGCAAAGAAAAGACAAAGAUGAUAAUUUGAGAAUAAAAGAGAAGAAAUUAUUUAUUUUCACUUUGUCCUCCUUAACUCCCUUCCCUGCUUAUAUAAUAGAGUUUUGGAGCCGUUACAAUCCCUAAAAAUAAAAAAUACCCACGUAUUUUCAAGCAGCAAGAUCGAAACCAACCAAAUCAUGUGUUUUGAUUUGUUUCCAAACUCACCGUAUGAUUCAAAAUAGAAAGAAAUAACAACAACUAGUAAAAUGAGCACGUAAUACCAUCAUAUCACUACCCUCAUCUUCGUCUUUAUCCCUAAAAUGAACCUUUUUAGGAGCAAACUUUCCCUAGAGAAAUCUCCAAGUCCAAUAUUUUCCCAAAAAGAAGACAUUAGUACUUGUUUAAUAACACUUAUAUUUUAAUCCGCCACUUUAUAAAUUUCAUGAAUUAAGUUGUUUUAAUCCCUCGAUUUUAAGAGUCAAAGCCAAGAAAAUUGUUGAUAGUUUCCUUUGUUAUUUUUUCCUCUACGGCCACCUAUCACCACCAAUUCUUUUCAUCACUUAAUGGCAACUGCCAAGUCCCAUUAUAGGUAAAUAAUACUUGAUUUCAUUAUAUUUUUAGAAUCACCUUUCGUGAUCUCCAAAUAUCAUGUUUUGGCAUGGAGAUUAAGUUACCCUGCCAUAGUUUAUCUUUAGUGUAAGUUUGUAUGAUUUUCUACUUUGAAGCAAAAGUGUUAGGCAAACCGUAGAAAUGUGGCUGACUGUAAAUUAAUUGCUUCUAGGUUAUGGAAAUUUAGAAUUUUAGUUUGUGAUUUUUACGCUUUAAAAUAUUUUACUCAAAAGGGGGUAGGGAUGAAAAUUUUCUAUUCAGGUUCUUUAAAAUUUUUAUAAAUUUAAAUUAGUAAAAAUAAAAUUGCAUUUUAAUUCCCUAAAAAUGAUAAAAUUUUAAUUUAAUCAUUUAAAAAUUAUAAAUAUAUAGGUUAUUAGAAUAUUGAAAUUACAUUUUUCCUAUCGUAAAAAUUACAAUCUAAUUUCGGCCCUCCUACAAAAUUUUUUUGGCUUCGCUUAUGAUAUGGCACCUAUAUCUGACAAAAGUUAUACAUUUUAUUACCUAAAGGUAAUGUGUUAACCUUUUAGUAUUUAAUUCGAGUUUUAAAGUUUUUUUUUUUUUGAAGUAACUCAACUUUUAGAGUUGAUUUGAUCAAAAUUCAUAAUUAGCUAAUAAUAUUAGCAAUUUACUUUCAUCAAAUCAACCCUAAAACCUAAGUCAAAUCAUAUUCAUUGGACUAUAUUUGACAAAUUAAAUGCAAAAUUAAAUAAAUUUACAAUCAACAAAAUUAUGAAGAAUUCAAAUAUAAUAAUAUUAGUAAUUAAAUUUCAACAAAUCACUAUUAAAACCCGAAUUAGACAUUAAAAAAUUAAUAUCAUUAUCUCUGAGUACCAAAAUAUAUCAUUUUUAUCAAACACAAGUAUCCCAUUAGAUCAAAAAAUUACAUGCAUGCCAUAUAAAAAAUUGUCAAACUGAAAAAUCAAAUGAUAUAUUCAAAAUGAGCUGACAUUUAUAGAUGAAAAUCUUGUUUCAAUCAAUUCAUUAGACCAACUUGCACACUAUUAAGAGUACAGAUAAGGACUGUGCUAGCUAACUCUGUUAUUGAGCUAGCCUAUUAGUUGUUAGUUUGUUAUUCAAACAGUUAAGUUGUUAGCAAUAGCAGUUAUUUAUAUAUUCUAUAAAUACUAUUGCUAUGAUGUACAAACUUGAGAUACUAGACUAAAUAUAAAGAAUUCUUUCAUUACUUAAUACAUUUUCAUUGUAUUCUUUCAAUACUUAGUACAGUUUCAUUCAUUCAAUACACAAUACAUUAACAAGUCACCGUUGGUGUUAACACACACUAUGCCAACAAUGCCUUCUUUGUUUCUGUGGACAAUAUCGCUAAGCGCAUUAAACUCACUUUGUUGUUAACAUUUGUAUCAAAAUGGCUUAAGCUACGGGUUUUUACUUACGGAUAGGAAGGAGCUGUCGGAGCGUGAUUUGGGGGCGAAACUUCAAUUUCCUGCUCAUCUUGAUGAUGGGAAGAAGGAGGAGAAGAAACAGGGAAAUCAUUGAGAAGAAUGGUACCAAG
rnacentral:lncRNA from 1 species